rnacentral:tRNA from 1 species
UGCAGAAUAGUUCAGCAGGUAGAACACUAAGAUAUUGCUUUUUUGUAUUGUCCCCGGUUCGAGUCCGGGUUCUGCAACAA